rnacentral:misc_RNA from 1 species
GGUAUAGGUUUUCAAGU